rnacentral:rRNA from 1 species
ACAAAAGCGCACAUGCUGUGAGCUCGAUGAGUAGGGCGGGACACGUGGUAUCCUGUCUGAAUAUGGGGGGACCAUCCUCCAAGGCUAAAUACUCCUGACUGACCGAUAGUGAACCAGUACCGUGAGGGAAAGGCGAAAAGAACCCCGGCGAGGGGAGUGAAAAAGAACCUGAAACCGUGUACGUACAAGCAGUGGGAGCACCCUUUGGGGUGUGACUGCGUACCUUUUGUAUAAUGGGUCAGCGACUUAUAUUCUGUAGCAAGGUUAACCGUAUAGGGGAGCCGGAGGGAAACCGAGUCUUAACCGGGCGUUAAGUUGCAGGGUAUAGACCCGAAACCCGGUGAUCUAGCCAUGGGCAGGUUGAAGGUUGGGUAACACUAACUGGAGGACCGAACCGACUAAUGUUGAAAAAUUAGCGGAUGACCUGUGGCUGGGGGUGAAAGGCCAAUCAAACCGGGAGAUAGCUGGUUCUCCCCGAAAGCUAUUUAGGUAGCGCCUCGUGAAUUCAUCUCCGGGGGUAGAGCACUGUUUCGGCUAGGGGGCCAUCCCGGCUUACCAACCCGAUGCAAACUGCGAAUACCGGAGAAUGUUAUCACGGGAGACACACGGCGGGUGCUAACGUCCGUCGUGAAGAGGGAAACAACCCAGACCGCCAGCUAAGGUCCCAAAGUCAUGGUUAAGUGGGAAACGAUGUGGGAAGGCCCAGACAGCCAGGAUGUUGGCUUAGAAGCAGCCAUCAUUUAAAGAAAGCGUAAUAGCUCACUGGUCGAGUCGGCCUGCGCGGAAGAUGUAACGGGGCUAAACCAUG